AUGAUAGUUAAAUAAGCAUAUAUAAACGUUCUUUUCACCAAUAUACUGAGUUAACGUCCAGCUGGCGUAAAAUGCUGACAGCGACAUCUGUUGAGACAAAACUUCAAUUUACGCCAGGAGAAGAAAUAUGCAAGCAAAAGUGGUUUUUGGCACGGCUAUAAGCGUUUUCAGCGCGUAAAACGACGCUUUCUUUCAAAACGUCUGUAUGUACACUGCCAUUAGAAAAUAGUUACGCUUGGCUGAGUGGAAUUUCUUUAUAAAUUAUUAAUAAAGGCGAAAAUUAAUUGUAUUAUUGGUUUAUAUAACGUUUCAAGGUAAUCAAAGUUCAUUUAAAGUAAAUAUGAUCUAGUGAAAAAAGAAAUACAUUAAAAAUACAAGCUAGUGAGACUUCUGUACAGCGAAUCCCCAAUUGUGCAAGUAUCGUUGAGAACGCCACAUCCGGAGUUCAUGUAGUAUUUGAAGAAUUGCGAGUAUUUUAGAGCAUAUUUUAAAACUCCGGCGGUUGUCUUAAAAAUUAUGAGGUUAUGUUUUAACGCUGCGACACUCUUAAGUAGUGCCGGCGAAGUGUUUGCAGCUUCAGUAGACGCUACACUAAGCUUACCGUCAACUAGCGGUUUUAAAAAAUAGGUAAGAAUAAUUGUACUUAAAUAAGUUAUAUAUUUACCACACAAAUGAGCCGAAAUUAAACACAAAUAUCUGCUGUUCCGCUGUCGAGAGCUUUACAGUUUUUUCAACCUUUAUUCAAUUUCAAUAUUCUCCACAUUCUUCUGAACAUUAUUACGUUGGUUACGUAAAACUAUUUACUACAAUUUACGUAAUAUGAGUAAUUAAGUAUUUACGAGUAUAUGACAGUAAUAAUUUACUUGAGUAUGUGAGUAUUAUUUGAUUUUGUUUCUGUCAUAAUCUUAAAUGUAUGUUUAUGUGAUUAUUGGAUGAAAUUUAAAUUAAAAAUAUAAAUCUUAAAUAAAAAAUGCGGACGGUGAGUGGACGCGAUGUUGUUUUCCACGCAACACCGUUACCGCGGCCAGGUGACUAUCAAUAAGACGUACAAGCUUCUUAAAGGGCUAGAACUGCAAAUAACUAAAGUUAGAGUUAGAGACAAUACGCUAAUUACAAAUGUUUACAUAACUUUAUAUACUAUGCACUAUAUACAAGCCUGACUAAGUGAA